rnacentral:rRNA from 1 species
AUACGGAAGGUCCGGGCGUUAUCCGGAUUUAUUGGGUUUAAAGGGAGCGCAGGCGGAGAUGCAAGCGUGACGUCAAAUUUCGGGGCUCAACCCCGUCUCGCGUCGCGAACUGCGUCCCUUGGUUGCGGGAAGGGGAGGCGGAACUCGUGGUGUAGCGGUGAAAUGCAUAGAUAUCACGAAGAACUCCGAUCGCGAAGGCAGCCUUCCGGCCCGUCAACGACGCUCAUGCUCGAAGGUGCGGGUAUCAAACAGGAUUAGAUACCCUGGUAGUCCGCACAGUAAACGAUGGACACCCGCGGUUUGGCCUGUAUGGCUGAGCCGCCAAGCGAAAGCGUUAAGUGUCCCACCUGGGGAGUACGCAGGCAACGGUGAAACUCAAAUGAAUUGGCGGGG